rnacentral:rRNA from 1 species
ACUAAGCGUACACGGUGGAUGCCCUGGCAGUCAGAGGCGAUGAAGGACGUGCUAAUCUGCGAAAAGCGUCGGUAAGGUGAUAUGAACCGUUAUAACCGGCGAUGUCCGAAUGGGGAAACCCAGUGCAAUUCGUUGCACUAUCGUUAACUGAAUACAUAGGUUAACGAGGCGAACCGGGGGAACUGAAACAUCUAAGUACCCCGAGGAAAAGAAAUCAACCGAGAUUCCCCCAGUAGCGGCGAGCGAACGGGGAGCAGCCCAGAGUCUGAAUCAGCUUGUGUGUUAGUGGAACGGUCUGGAAAGUCCGACGGUACAGGGUGAUAGUCCCGUACACCAAAAUGCACAGGUUGUGAACUCGAAGAGUAGGGCGGGACACGUGGUAUCCUGUCUGAAUAUGGGGGGACCAUCCUCCAAGGCUAAAUACUCCUGACUGACCGAUAGUGAACCAGUACCGUGAGGGAAAGGCGAAAAGAACCCCGGCGAGGGGAGUGAAAAAGAACCUGAAACCGUGUACGUACAAGCAGUGGGAGCACCUUCGGGUGUGACUGCGUACCUUUUGUAUAAUGGGUCAGCGACUUAUAUUCUGUAGCAAGGUUAACCGUAUAGGGGAGCCGCAGGGAAACCGAGUCUUAACUGGGCGUUAAGUUGCAGGGUAUAGACCCGAAACCCGGUGAUCUAGCCAUGGGCAGGUUGAAGGUUGGGUAACACUAACUGGAGGACCGAACCGACUAAUGUUGAAAAAUUAGCGGAUGACUUGUGGCUGGGGGUGAAAGGCCAAUCAAACCGGGAGAUAGCUGGUUCUCCCCGAAAGCUAUUUAGGUAGCGCCUCGUGAAUUCAUCUUCGGGGGUAGAGCACUGUUUCGGCUAGGGGGUCAUCCCGACUUACCAACCCGAUGCAAACUACGAAUACCGAAGAAUGUUAUCACGGGAGACACACGGCGGGUGCUAACGUCCGUCGUGAAGAGGGAAACAACCCAGACCGCCAGCUAAGGUCCCAAAGUCAUGGUUAAGUGGGAAACGAUGUGGGAAGGCACAGACAGCCAGGAUGUUGGCUUAGAAGCAGCCAUCAUUUAAAGAAAGCGUAAUAGCUCACUGGUCGAGUCGGCCUGCGCGGAAGAUGUAACGGGGCUAAACCAUGCACCGAAGCUGCGGCAGCGACACUAUGUGUUGUUGGGUAGGGGAGCGUUCUGUAAGCCUGCGAAGGUGACCUGUGAGGGUUGCUGGAGGUAUCAGAAGUGCGAAUGCUGACAUAAGUAACGAUAAAGCGGGUGAAAAGCCCGCUCGCCGGAAGACCAAGGGUUCCUGUCCAACGUUAAUCGGGGCAGGGUGAGUCGACCCCUAAGGCGAGGCCGAAAGGCGUAGUCGAUGGGAAACAGGUUAAUAUUCCUGUACUUGGUGUUACUGCGAAGGGGGGACGGAGAAGGCUAUGUUAGCCGGGCGACGGUUGUCCCGGUUUAAGCAUGUAGGCUGGUUGUCCAGGCAAAUCCGGAUAAUCAAGGCUGAGGUGUGAUGACGAGGCACUACGGUGCUGAAGUAACAAAUGCCCUGCUUCCAGGAAAAGCCUCUAAGCAUCAGGUAACAUUAAAUCGUACCCCAAACCGACACAGGUGGUCAGGUAGAGAAUACCAAGGCGCUUGAGAGAACUCGGGUGAAGGAACUAGGCAAAAUGGUGCCGUAACUUCGGGAGAAGGCACGCUGGUGUGUAGGUGAAGUCCCUGCGGAUGGAGCUGAGACCAGUCGAAGAUACCAGCUGGCUGCAACUGUUUAUUAAAAACACAGCACUGUGCAAACACGAAAGUGGACGUAUACGGUGUGACGCCUGCCCGGUGCCGGAAGGUUAAUUGAUGGGGUUAUCCGUAAGGAGAAGCUCUUGAUCGAAGCCCCGGUAAACGGCGGCCGUAACUAUAACGGUCCUAAGGUAGCGAAAUUCCUUGUCGGGUAAGUUCCGACCUGCACGAAUGGCGUAAUGAUGGCCAGGCUGUCUCCACCCGAGACUCAGUGAAAUUGAACUCGCUGUGAAGAUGCAGUGUACCCGCGGCAAGACGGAAAGACCCCGUGAACCUUUACUAUAGCUUGACACUGAACAUUGAGCCUUGAUGUGUAGGAUAGGUGGGAGGCUUUGAAGCGUGGACGCCAGUCUGCGUGGAGCCAACCUUGAAAUACCACCCUUUAAUGUUUGAUGUUCUAACGUUGGCCCCUGACCGGGGUUGCGGACAGUGUCUGGUGGGUAGUUUGACUGGGGCGGUCUCCUCCCAAAGCGUAACGGAGGAGCACGAAGGUUAGCUAAUCCUGGUCGGACAUCAGGAGGUUAGUGCAAUGGCAUAAGCUAGCUUGACUGCGAGCGUGACGGCGCGAGCAGGUGCGAAAGCAGGUCAUAGUGAUCCGGUGGUUCUGAAUGGAAGGGCCAUCGCUCAACGGAUAAAAGGUACUCCGGGGAUAACAGGCUGAUACCGCCCAAGAGUUCAUAUCGACGGCGGUGUUUGGCACCUCGAUGUCGGCUCAUCACAUCCUGGGGCUGAAGUAGGUCCCAAGGGUAUGGCUGUUCGCCAUUUAAAGUGGUACGCGAGCUGGGUUUAGAACGUCGUGAGACAGUUCGGUCCCUAUCUGCCGUGGGCGCUGGAGAAUUGAGGGGGGCUGCUCCUAGUACGAGAGGACCGGAGUGGACGCAUCACUGGUGUUCGGGUUGUCAUGCCAAUGGCACUGCCCGGUAGCUAAAUGCGGAAGAGAUAAGUGCUGAAAGCAUCUAAGCACGAAACUUGCCCCGAGAUGAGUUCUCCCUGAGACUUUAAGUCUCCUGAAGGAACGUUAAAGACGAUGACGUUGAUAGGCCGGGUGUGUAAGCGCAGCGAUGCGUUGAGCUAACCGGUACUAAUGAACCGUGAGGCUUAACC